UACGUAGGGAGCGAGCGUUGUCCGGAUUUACUGGGUGUAAAGGGUGCGUAGGCGGCUUGGCAAGUCAGUAGUGAAAUCCAUGGGCUUAACCCAUGAACUGCUAUUGAAACUGUCGAGCUUGAGUGAAGUAGAGGUAGGCGGAAUUCCCGGUGUAGCGGUGAAAUGCGUAGAGAUCGGGAGGAACACCAGUGGCGAAGGCGGCCUACUGGGCUUUAACUGACGCUGAGGCACGAAAGCGUGGGUAGCAAACAGG
rnacentral:rRNA from 1 species